rnacentral:precursor_RNA from 1 species
AGAAGAAAGGAAAUUAAAGUUUUGGAAGCUAGGAAAAUGAAUCAAGUGAGGUAAGUGCUUAAUCUAGCUUUCCUUCUUCUUCAAUUCUUGAAAUUAAGUUUAAUUAUGAGGAUUUUGAUUGAGAAAUGAAAGAAACAUGCAUGUAUAGAGGAAGGAAAAAUUCGGCCAGCUUAGGGGAUUAGGGUUUGAUGUGUUUAGUUAAAAGUGAACAAGCCUACUAGUAUUGUUUGACGUGUUUACAUGAAUUAUAUGUUGACUUGGCAUGCAAUUAUAUGAAUUUAAGAAUAUGAGGAAGUUAGGGUUUUGAAAAAUUGGGAAUUUAUGCUAUGAUAUACAAUUAAUGUUCAUGAGGUCAAAUAGUGACCAAUUGGUAGGUAUUGAAUGAGGAUUGAUGAUGGUUUGGUGAGAGAAUUUAUGUGAAUGACAAUGAGCAUUUGGUUGUGAAUCUGGACAGCUUGCGUCCAGUGGGUUUGAAUGCCUAUAAGUUGAGCUAUAUAGCUCCAAUUGGUGUGAGGGCAAUUGGAGGUGAAACCUAAGAUAUAAUGCUAGAAAUUCAUGAAGGUAGGUUGCUCGGAAAAUGACCAUAAGUCACCCUAAAUUAGGUUUGAAUCCAGAAUGGCACAUUCUGGACCUAAAAAAUAACCAUAUGAACAGUAAUUGGUAAAAUGAGCAUAACUCACUCUAGGAAACUCUAAUUAACCUGAUUUUUAAACCUAUGGAAACCUGAGACAUAGGAGAACAUUUCAUAUGAAGAACUUAGAGCUAAAUUAUGACCCUAACUCAACUAAAUUGCUAGAAAAAGUUGGUCUUGAAAACUUGUCCUGGUUCUGGACUAAAUAUGAAAUCUUGAUCAUUUAGGUACUCGACCAGUUUUGGCAAAAAUAUCAUAACUCAAGCUACAAAAUUGCAAAUAUAGUAAUUCCAAAGCCAAAAUUCUCAUAAGACAUAGAACUACAACUUCUGUGUUUUGACCAGAACUCAGAUCUUAAGGCAACUUAGGAAAAUUGUUAGAACAGUUAGAAAUGGAAAUGUUGGAAUUCCUGCAAUCUAGCAAAUUUGCCUUAUGACCUCCGAAUGGUUAUCAGGCAAUAACUUUCUCUACAGAACUCCAAUUGAAGUGAUUCAAAAAGAUUUGGAAACCUAAGAUAAAGGCCUAAAACUUUUUUUUUUUUUCGGGAUCUGAGGCUAAUUCUGAGCUUAAGGUGCUCGGAUAUUAGUUGAAAAUUUUGAUGAAAUUCUGGAAAAUAAGGAAAGAGUAGGGUUUAAUACCCUAGAACAGCACUUAGUAAUUUGACUAUAAUUAGAGCUGCAAAACUUCAAAGUAAAUGGUUCAAAAAGGAAAUUAAAGUUAACACAUAAGAGAAUAACUUUCAUGAAAAAAUGAGGUCAAAUUGAUCCUACAUCUUGGGCAAAUUGCUAGGGAAAGUUAAAGCAUCAAUUUUGAAAUUUAUUAAACUUUCACAAAAUGACUUGAAAUGUGAUAGGUACUUAACAUAAAUGGUUUGAUGAACACAUAUACCACAUGAAUAUGUAAUUGGGACUUAUGUUCCCAUCAUAAAUGGAUUGAAAAUACUAUGAGCAUGAAUGGCACAUGGAAAGAAAUAAUGAGACUUAUAAAUGCAUAAUGAUUCUAAUUUGCCCAUGUAUGCCUAGACAUUAGUGUAUGAGUUAGAUCGAUUGGCAUGCCAAUUAGGGACCACAGAUACAGUACUGCCCAUGGCUUUCGAGCCUACUUCAUGGAUGAUCAUUAAUAGAUAAUGUAUGUCUGAUAUGAUUAUUCUUCUACCUUUAUGCCUGAUAUGUUUUACUAGCUUUCAUGUCUACCCGCUAGCUUUAUGCCUCACAGAUAUAUACCUGAUAGGCACAUGGGGUGUCUAACUAGUAUACUCUCAUGUAUCUAGUCUUAACAGUCUGUUAUAGGUUACUUUAACAAAAUUCACACUAUAAUGAAAUUUGGUAUUUCUUGAAAAAUUGAUUGGCCAACCCCCACCCCCCUCCCCCUUCAAAAAAUAAAAAAUGAAAAAUUUCCCAUGUAGGCCGGUGAAUUAGCUCAACUAAUCCUAUGACUCAUUUUUGGCUUGGCUGUAGCAUCAACGCCGUAACAAUCACACAUUAAUAUAGGAUUUUUUUUAAAGCUAACAUAAGAAAAUUAUUAUCAUGAUCAUCAUGAUAAAGAUAAAACAUAAUUAUGGCAAAUGAAUUAUGCAGUUAAAAUUAUGUUUUACGAUUAAACCUCAUUUCUAUGAACGUGUGAUACAUUAUAUAAAUAUAUUUUUUUUGGUACGUAUAUUGUAGGAAUGAUUUACAUAAGUAAUUGAAUCGAAAAUGUUUUAAGAAAUUUUUUAUCGCUACUUAAUAUGAUAUUUUGCCAAAAUAUAAUCAACCACUUAAAUAGGAUGAUGGUGUGAUUAGGUCACGAUAAAAAUUAAUUAAUCAAUCAGAUUUGAUUUCAAAGUGUAAAGAGCAAACGAAGAAAGCAAGGGGUCUGAAUUCUAUAUAUAUAUUGCAUGGUCGAGAAGGAAGAGAUAUGAUAAUAGAGAGAGAUAGAGAGCGACAUGGGGGUGGUGGUGAUUUUUUCUGGAACCCAAGGCACUGAUCAGUGUGCUAUGCUGCUUCUAUUGCUUUCUUUGUCCUUUUUACCCUCCAUCCCUCCUCCCCCUAGCAUUUUUAUCUCUUUCUUUUCUUUGCUUAUUUCUCAUUCACUAAGAUCAUACUAAAUCUCUUUCUCUCUCUCUCUCUCACCCCUCUUUUCUCUCCUUCCCCAUCUCUUUCGAAACCAGUCCUUGGGUUAAUUGGGUUCUUGAGAAGCUAUAUAUCUUUUGAGGGGAAUGUUGUCUGGCUCGAGGCCACUAACUAGAUCUAUAAUUUUUAUCUCUGAAUUGAUUUAUUUUUGUUGAGAUAUAAUUAAUCAUGAGCUAGUGACGUCGGACCAGGCUUCAUUCCCCC